rnacentral:rRNA from 1 species
AUUGAACGCUGGCGGUAGGCCUAACACAUGCAAGUCGAACGGCAGCACAGUAAGAGCUUGCUCUUGCGGGUGGCGAGUGGCGGACGGGUGAGGAAUACAUCGGAAUCUACUUUUUCGUGGGGGAUAACGUAGGGAAACUUACGCUAAUACCGCAUACGACCUACGGGUGAAAGCAGGGGAUCUUCGGACCUUGCGCGAUUGAAUGAGCCGAUGUCGGAUUAGCUAGUUGGCGGGGUAAAGGCCCACCAAGGCGACGAUCCGUAGCUGGUCUGAGAGGAUGAUCAGCCACACUGGAACUGAGACACGGUCCAGACUCCUACGGGAGGCAGCAGUGGGGAAUAUUGGACAAUGGGCGCAAGCCUGAUCCAGCCAUACCGCGUGGGUGAAGAAGGCCUUCGGGUUGUAAAGCCCUUUUGUUGGGAAAGAAAAGCAGCAGGUUAAUACCCCGCUGUUCUGACGGUACCCAAAGAAUAAGCACCGGCUAACUUCGUG